CUGAAUCCCCUGUUCCCUCCCAGGUACCCACUCCCCAGGCUUCCCUCCCACACCUGCCUCAGAGAAUGUUGCCGCCUUCCACCGGGGCCUCCCCAGUGACCUCUGUUCGCAGUCUCCUCUCUUCCCUUUCUUAGAUCUCUGGCGAUGAAUUCUACUCUGAUAUGGCCAAAGGCAUCCUGCAGUACGUGGCUCGGAGCCUGAGCCACCGGGUGUGUGUCCAUGGUGGCAGGUGGGCCUGGCUGUGGGAGGGGUCGGGACCUCCACUGCCCUGUGGGCCGGGGCCAGCCAACUCUCCCCUCCCCACAGUCUGGAGGCUUCUAUAGCGCUGAGGAUGCAGACUCGCCCCCAGAGCGGGGCAUGCGGCCCAAAGAGGGCGCCUACUAUGUGUGGACGGUCAAAGAGGUUCAGCAGCUCCUCCCGGAGCCUGUGCUGGGUGCCACCGAGCCGCUGACCUCAGGCCAGCUCCUGAUGAAGCACUACGGCCUCACGGAGGCUGGUAACAUCAGCCCCAGUCAGGACCCCAAGGGGGAGCUGCAGGGCCAGAAUGUGCUGACCGUCCGGUACUCGCUGGAGCUGACUGCUGCCCGCUUUGGCUUGGAUGUGGAGGCCGUGCGGACCUUGCUUAAU
rnacentral:sRNA from 1 species